rnacentral:rRNA from 1 species
UUUUAUACGGCGAAACUGCGAAUGGCUCAUUAAAACAGUUAUAGUUUAUUUGAUGGUCUUUACUACAUGGAUAACCGUGGUAAUUCUAUGGCUAAUACAUGCGCACAUACCUCUUCCCUCGUGGAAGGGUAGUGUUUAUUAGAUACAGAACCAACCCACCUUCGGGUGGUCCCCAGGUGAUUCAUAGUAACCGAACGGAUCGCAUUAUGACCUUUUGGUCGGCGAUGGAUCAUUCAAGUUUCUGACCUAUCAGCUUUCGACGGUACUGUAUUGGACUACCGUGGCAGUGACGGGUAACGGGGAAUUAGGGUUCGAUUCCGGAGAGGGAGCCUGAGAAACGGCUACCACAUCUAAGGAAGGCAGCAGGCGCGCAAAUUACCCAAUCCUGACUCAGGGAGGUAGUGACAAGAAAUAACAACACUGGAAAUUAUAUUUCUAGUGAUUGGAAUGAUGGGAAUCCAAACCCCUUUCAGAGUAACAAUUGGAGGGCAAGUCUGGUGCCAGCAGCCGCGGUAAUUCCAGCUCCAAUAGCGUAUAUUAAAGUUGUUGCAGUUAAAAAGCUCGUAGUUGGAUAUCUGCUGGAAGCAGCCAGUCCGCCCUUUGCGGGUGUGCACUUGGUGAAUUCUGGCAUCCUCCUGAUUGGUGUCAUCAUCACUUCAUUGUGUUGGUGGCAGCUGUCAGGACCGUUACUUUGAGAAAAUUAGAGUGUUUCAAGCAGGCUUGUUGCCUUGAAUACUGCAGCAUGGAAUAACAAGAUAGGAUUUCGGUUCUAUUUUGUUGGUUUCUAGGACUGAAGUAAUGAUUAAUAGGGACAGUUGGGGGCAUUCGUAUUUAACUGUCAGAGGUGAAAUUCUUAGAUUUGUUAAAGACGAA